GACGAACGCUGGCGGCGUGCUUAACACGUGCAAGUCGAACGGAAAGGCCCUGCUUUUGUGGGGUGCUCGAGUGGCGAACGGGUGAGUAACACGUGAGUAACCUGCCCUUGACUUUGGGAUAACUUCAGGAAACUGGGGCUAAUACCGGAUAGGAGCUCCUGCUGCAUGGUGGGGGUUGGAAAGUUUCGGCGGUUGGGGAUGGACUCGCGGCUUAUCAGCUUGUUGGUGGGGUAGUGGCUUACCAAGGCUUUGACGGGUAGCCGGCCUGAGAGGGUGACCGGCCACAUUGGGACUGAGAUACGGCCCAGACUCCUACGGGAGGCAGCAGUGGGGAAUAUUGCACAAUGGGCGGAAGCCUGAUGCAGCAACGCCGCGUGCGGGAUGACGGCCUUCGGGUUGUAAACCGCUUUCGCCUGUGACGAAGCGUGAGUGACGGUAAUGGGUAAAGAAGCACCGGCUAACUACGUGCCAGCAGCCGCGGUGAUACGUANGGUGCGAGCGUUGUCCCGAUUUAUUGGGCGUAAAGGGCUCGUAGGUGGUUGAUCGCGUCGGAAGUGUAAUCUUGGGGCUUAACCCUGAGCGUGCUUUCGAUACGGGUUGACUUGAGGAAGGUAGGGGAGAAUGGAAUUCCUGGUGGAGCGGUGGAAUGCGCAGAUAUCAGGAGGAACACCAGUGGCGAAGGCGGUUCUCUGGGCCUUUCCUGACGCUGAGGAGCGAAAGCGUGGGGAGCGAACAGGCUUAGAUACCCUGGUAGUCCACGCUGUAAACGGUGGGUACUAGGUGUGGGGUCCAUUCCACGGGUUCCGUGCCGUAGCUAACGCUUUAAGUACCCCGCCUGGGGAGUACGGCCGCAAGGCUAAAACUCAAAGGAAUUGACGGGGCCCCGCACAAGCGGCGGAGCAUGCGGAUUAAUUCGAUGCAACGCGUAGAACCUUACCUGGGUUUGACAUGGAUCGGGAGUGCUCAGAGAUGGGUGUGCCUCUUUUGGGGUCGGUUCACAGGUGGUGCAUGGCUGUCGUCAGCUCGUGUCGUGAGAUGUUGGGUUAAGUCCCGCAACGAGCGCAACCCUUGUUCACUGUUGCCAGCACGUUAUGGUGGGGACUCAGUGGAGACCGCCGGGGUCAACUUGGAGGAAGGUGGGGAUGACGUCAAGUCAUCAUGCCCCUUAUGUCCAGGGCUUCACGCAUGCUACAAUGGCUGGUACAGAGAGUGGCGAGCCUGUGAGGGUGAGCGAAUCUCGGAAAGCCGGUCUCAGUUCGGAUUGGGGUCUGCAACUCGACCUCAUGAAGUCGGAGUCGCUAGUAAUCGCAGAUCAGCAACGCUGCGGUGAAUACGUUCCCGGG
rnacentral:rRNA from 1 species